GACGAACGCUGGCGGCGUGCUUAACACAUGCAAGUCGAACGGAAAGGCCCUGCUUUUGUGGGGUGCUCGAGUGGCGAACGGGUGAGUAACACGUGAGUAACCUGCCCUUGACUUUGGGAUAACUUCAGGAAACUGGGGCUAAUACCGGAUAGGAGCUCCUGCUGCAUGGUGGGGGUUGGAAAGUUUCGGCGGUUGGGGAUGGACUCGCGGCUUAUCAGCUUGUUGGUGGGGUAGUGGCUUACCAAGGCUUUGACGGGUAGCCGGCCUGAGAGGGUGACCGGCCACAUUGGGACUGAGAUACGGCCCAGACUCCUACGGGAGGCAGCAGUGGAGAAUAUUGCACAAUGGGCGGAGGCCUGAUGCAGCAACGCCGCGUGCGGGAUGACGGCCUUCGGGUUGUAACCCGCUUUCGCCUGUGACGAAGCGUGAGUGACGGUAAUGGGUAAAGAAGCACCGGCUAACUACGUG
rnacentral:rRNA from 1 species